rnacentral:lncRNA from 1 species
CAGGAUUAGUAACCACAAGACUAUAAAUCAAGAACCAUUUUCAUCGUAAGGAAAUAGUUCAAAUAAUUUAUCUACCUUCUGAAUUGUAUUUGGGAAGAAACUCUAAUCGAAUAUCAGAAAAAAUGGCAAAGACCUCGUUUGUGUGCAUCUUCGCAUUGGUGCUGAUUAUAUCAGUUCACAUCCACACCGUGUUUGGUCAUGAUCAAGACAAUAAAGACAUGAUGGAUAAAGCCGGCGACGCUGCUUCAUCGGCAAAGCAUGCAGCGGAGGACUUGGGACACAAGGCUUCCAAUGUCGCGCAGAACGCUAAGGACACCGGCUCGUCAUGGGCUGAUUGGUUUAAAGGCAAAUUCUCGUAGGUUAAUCGGCUUUCCACUACUCUUCUGAUGCAAAUUUUACUCUAUACGCCUAAUCGCAUUAUCACGUACAUUCAAAACUUACUUACAUUUGCCUGUAUUUCACUCCUUUUUCCAGAUUCGACGCAAGCGUGGGAGAUGAUGACCACGAUCAUGCAAAGGGACCUUCCAAACCUUAAUCUCGUUGCUAUGACAACUUAGUACAUAAAUAAGUAAAGACCGUGUGUUACAUCACUAACGGGAACCCCUAAUUCCCAUUGGUCUUAGGAGUAGUAAUAAGAAUGAAGAACAUCGCUCAGUCUCGACUCUCGUAGCGAAGUGACAUGAAGAUUGAAUAUAUCAUUGUAAUUAUGAACAUACGUACAUAAUAUGAUCUGCUUGUGCAAUUUGAUGCACUACAUUAUUCAACAAGCUCUCAAUUCCGUAUUACAAUACGUUUCCAAUUUCUAAGAACGUACUUCAACAUUUAUACGUUGUAUAAUAGCAUGUAUAAUAUCUAAAUACAACACUUUUUAUUCAAAUCAAGGUGAUUCAAAGGAAUGGGAAAUAUUACCUACCAGUAGCAGAUCUCUGGU